UCGCCAGUUGACACUUUUGUGAUGUCAGCAGCCUCAGGAGACUGCCAGGCAGAAGGAAAGGCUUCUCAGCUCUUCUGGGAGUUUGGGGGGUGUUUUGUGUAUGUAGCAGUUAAACAGGUGUUCAUAUCUAAAGAAGUAUGAGAGCCACUUAGGACAUACGAUCCACCCCAGACUUUGAGCUUGCCCAGCCUUUCUCCAGCAGAGUCCUCUCUGCGAGCCUGGGACCGUGGGGCGGUGCCGAGAAAAGCAGGUGAAAACAAGUAAGGAUCAAGAUGAAACUCCUUCUCCACUCUCAGCUCCUUCUCC